GAAUGAAGAACGUAGCGAAAUGCGAUAAGUAGUGUGAAUUGCAGAAUUCAGUGAAUCAUCGAAUCUUUGAACGCACAUUGCGCCCUUUGGUAUUCCAAAGGGCAUGCCUGUUCGAGCGUCAUUUGUACCCUCAAGCUUUGCUUGGUGUUGGGCGUCUUGUCUCUAGCUUUGCUGGAGACUCGCCUUAAAGUAAUUGGCAGCCGGCCUACUGGUUUCGGAGCGCAGCACAAGUCGCACUCUCUAUCAGCAAAGGUCUAGCAUCCAUUAAGCCUUUUUUUCAACUUUUGACCUCGGAUCAGGUAGGGAUACCCGCUGAACUUAAGCAUAUCAAUAAGCGGAGGA
rnacentral:misc_RNA from 1 species